UAAUUAUAAGAGUUAAAGAUGGGUUAGGAGGGUUUAGACAACACUUAUACCCAUUUUUUCCA
rnacentral:sRNA from 1 species